rnacentral:rRNA from 1 species
GACGAACGCUGGCGGCGUGCUUAACACAUGCAAGUCGAACGGAAAGGCCCUGCUUUUGUGGGGUGCUCGAGUGGCGAACGGGUGAGUAACACGUGAGUAACCUGCCCUUGACCUUGGGAUAACUUCAGGAAACUGGGGCUAAUACCGGAUAGGAUCUCCUGCUGCAUGGUGGGGGUUGGAAAGUUUCGGCGGUUGGGGAUGGACUCGCGGCUUAUCAGCUUGUUGGUGGGGUAGUGGCUUACCAAGGCUUUGACGGGUAGCCGGCCUGAGAGGGUGACCGGCCACAUUGGGACUGAGAUACGGACCAGACUCCUACGGGAGGCAGCAGUGGGGAAUAUUGCACAAUGGGCGGAAGCCUGAUGCAGCAACGCCGCGUGCGGGAUGACGGCCUUCGGGUUGUAAACCGCUUUCGACUGUGACGAAGCGUGAGUGACGGUAAUGGGUAAAGAAGCACCGGCUAACUACGUG